AUUGAACGCUGGCGGCAGGCUUAACACAUGCAAGUCGAGCGGGGACUUCGGUCCUAGCGGCGAACGGGUGAGGAAUGCUUGGGAAUCUGCCUGGUAGUGGGGGAUAACGUUUCGAAAGGAACGCUAAUACCGCAUACGUCCUACGGGAGAAAGGGGGGGAUCUUCGGACCUCUCGCUAUCAGAUGAGCCCAAGUCGGAUUAGCUAGUUGGUGAGGUAAAGGCUCACCAAGGCGACGAUCCGUAGCUGGUCUGAGAGGAUGAUCAGCCACACUGGAACUGAGACACGGUCCAGACUCCUACGGGAGGCAGCAGUGGGGAAUAUUGGACAAUGGGCGAAAGCCUGAUCCAGCCAUGCCGCGUGUGUGAAGAAGGCCUUCGGGUUGUAAAGCACUUUAAGCGAGGAGGAAUGGCUCUGGGUUAAUACCCUUGAGCAGUGACGUUACUCGCAGAAUAAGCACCGGCUAACUCUGUGCCAGCAGCAGCCGCAGUA
rnacentral:rRNA from 1 species